UGAAAGUUCUAAACCUCUAAUCAUGGCUAGCUUCUCUAGCCACAUCAUUAGCACACCAAAGACACCUUAUUACUCAGGAGAUUCCAAGGAUUUUAGGAGCAGUGUGUCAGAAACGGGGAACGCGGAUCAAAUAUUUUUUAUUCUACCACAGAGGAAAGUGUCCUGCUAUCAGAAUAUAGGCCAGAGCCUCACUGGUGGCCAGGAAGACUUACAGCUGUAUCUUCCACAUGGGGCAGAGCCUCAGAAAUCCCUCUAGUCACGAGUCCAGACCAGCUCCACAGAAACGGACAGAGUUCUGGAGAUCAGAAGUCUGAAACAGUUCUUACAAGCUAAAAUCAAGGUGUCAGCACAGCUGCCUUUCUACUGGAGGCUCCAAGGGAGAAUUCAUUUCCUUGUCUAGUCCAGCUCCAAGAGGCCACCUGCAUCCUUGGCUCAAAGCCCCAUUUUCAGUCUUCAAAGGAUAUGAACCUCUGCUUCCGUCCUCACAUCUCCUACUUCUGAUUCUGACCCUCCUGCCUCCCUCCUGUAAGGCCCUUGUGAUUACAUUGGGCCCACCUAUAAUCUAGGGUAAUCUUCACCUCUCGGGAUUCCUAACUUAGUCACAUGUUCAAAGUCCCUUUUGUAGUGUAUAGUACAUAUUCCAGGUUGUAGGGAUUAGGACAUGAACAUCUUUUGGGGGGCUUUAUUUUGCCAACCACGGAGCUCUUGUAGCAUAGCCACCCUCCUUUUUUAGAUGAGGACAUUUAAGCACAAGGAGGUAAAUGACUUGCCCAGGGUCACGAGUUUAGAUUAAAACCCAAGAUGUCUGAUUCCCAUUGUACUGCCUAGGCAAGUGUUCUUUCUGCUACCUUAAGUUGCCACAGAAAUGAACAAUACAAAUCAUUGUAAGAGUAAGUGCAACUUACAUUAUAGGUUUAUAAAUACACAGAAUUACAGGAUCAGAGAGUUAUUGCUCAGAGGAUCUUAGAGGUCUUCACGUCUAACCAGUCUGAUCCUGGCUCCAUCAUAUAUUUCAUAUCUCCAGUUAGAAAGAACCCCUCACCUGCCGAAGCAACCCACAGCCCAUUUCUGAGAGUGCUAAUAGCAAAGUGUUCUUUGAAUAACUAGAUUACCCAGCUUCAGAGUUUGGACUAUCCAUACUGUGUGUACUCCAGCCUCCCUGAAGCACAUGACCCACAUGACACUGGAAACUCCACAAGCCCAGAAAGACCAGAAAUCCAGUCCCCUUCACCAGGAACUCCAUCCUCUGAUCCAGGUAACAGCACCACUGGGACUUACUCCCACCUCGAAGGCUUAUCCUUGGGUUCCAUCUCCCUGCUGGAACCAGAACCCAGAGAGCACCUGUGGCAAAUACGUCAGACAUGUGCCCACACACAUGCUCUCCUUCCUUAUUAGUAGGAUUUAACAGACACAGGACUGGACUGCAUUUCUCAGUCUCCCUUGCAGUUAGGUGGAUAUAAGACUAGUUUUCUCCAAUGGAAUAUGAAUAGAAAUAAUGCGUACCACUUCGGUGCCAGGUUUUAUAAAGUAAAUGCUUCUCUUUUCUCCUUCUUCUACCUGAAUAUAAAUGUUCCCAAGGGUCUAGAUGCAACACACUUUGAUUUCUGAAUCACUGCAUGAAAGAGAAACACCCACUGACUAGGUGUGGUCACUUUAGACUGCUGUGUGAGCAAGAAAUAAACUUCUAUAGCAUUUGAGCUUUAUGUAGUUUAGAGUCUAAUUUGUUACAGCAGCUUAGCUUAUCAUAACGAAGAUAGUAUGUCUUAAGGCAGGAGUAUCAAUUACCUGUCAGGGCCACUGGUCAUAACCACAUUCUGAUUAUUCCUGCCAGCAAGGAAACUAUUUUCUAGUUAUAAAAGCCUUGGGAGGUGGAAUGGGAGACACCAAGUGGCCCCAUAAUCUCCAUCCAUAUCCCUUGCUUUGAUAGAGACUAUAGACAUUUUCUUAAUAUCACAUAAGGCUCUGCACUAUCUCACACACAAUCCACCUUCCAACAAGAUGGCUGCCCCAAGCCCCUUCCAAGUGGAAAUUCUGAACCCAGCACUGGUCCAAACUGACUCUCAGGAAGUCUGGAGGAAUUCUACUCAUCAUCACUGCCACCUGCAUUGUGUCAUCAGUUCUGGUCACUUCUGAGCCAUGUGUUGGUCAUUGCCUCCACACUGGCAUAGAUCUCAGCUCAGUCUUCAGAGCGUCUGUAGGCCAGGAGUGCCAAGGUGCAUCCCACCAAAGUGAUGCUGCAGCUCUUCGCCACCCAUCUAGGUAUGAGCCUGACAGCGGAAUGACCAGUACAGGACGGGUCCAACCAGCACCACUCAUGAGCUCAGAAGCACUGCUCCCUUUUGACCACCUGAUACUGUAUCUCUUUAAUCAUCAUAGUGAGUUUAUUUUAGCCAACUUACUGAUGACCUGUCCUGCCAUUGGGUCUGUCGCAUGGCCACAUAUUCCACCCUGACAGCUUUCAAUCACUUUGAAAAGUUUCCCAUGUCAAAUUUCUCUUGAAAAAAAAAAAAAAAUUCCACCUCACUGGACAUCCCGCUAUGCUCUGCCUUUUGGAAACUUAACCCACUGAGUCCUAGUUUCACAUAGGACUAGAUUCUGGAGAUAUCCAGAACAAGAAUUUCUCUACAUGGUAGUCCUCAUAAAAACUAAGAAUAAUUUUCAAGACCCCAGACAAAGUCUUACUGUCGUUGGGCCAAACAUUCCUAAUUCUUUUAACUAGUCCUUGAGAAAUUAAAUAAUAAGAAAAAAAUAUAAGAGGGACCAGUUUGUGAUUCCUUGAGCUCCAAGCAAAUGCUGGUCAAUGUUGUGGCUGCUGAGUGUACUCUUGGUUCCCCUCACUGCCCUUGUCUCACCUCUGAACAUGCCCACAUGAAGAGCGAAUACCAAGGGGUAGAGUAGGGAGCAAAGGGUCUCCUGGAGGAAGAGAGAUCUGAGCUGGAUUUUGAGGAUGUGUGUCACUUGGUUGUGUGUGAAGAAGAGAAUAUGAGUAAAGAAAGAACUAGAGAAGGUUCUGGUAGAUGGUGAAGAAGGUUCUGCACCCAAAUCCACCAAUGGUGCAGAGGGGGUUCUCCACAAGCCAACAAGCAAGGCUGUAACACCAACUGAGUAUCCUACAAUUCAACUCAAUUCUGACACUACCUUGAGUUGACAUCAGAUUCUACAGGUUAAGGGGUCAGUCCUAACAAGACUGCCCCCUCCCCAAACCUCAGACACCAAUCUCAAGUCCAGGUCAGUCACCUGUGCUUCUGACCAACAGUUAUAGAUGGGAAUUUCCCACACCUCCCUCUUCUGGUUUGAUUAAUUUGCUAGAGUGGCUCACAGAACUCAGAGAAACAUUUUACUUACUAGAUCAUAGGUUUAUUAUAAAAGGACAUAAUUCAAGAACAGCUAGAUGAAAGAGAUGCAUAGGACAACCCCUACUGUUCUUAUUUUUUUCAAGCAUUGAAUUUUAUCCAAUGUUUUUACAUUCCUUUAAAAAAACAAAAAGGAAUUACCUUUAAAGAAAUGCCUUUUCAGAGGAGUAUACAUUUAGAAGUUUAAAAUAAUUGUAGAUACAUAUAUUCCAGCUUUCACAUCACUUCUGUGUGUGCGUGUGUUGUGUGUGUAUGUGUGUGGUGUGUGUGUGUGUGUGUUGGGGAUUCCCACUGAGCAGUUUUGUGUGGGGAGUCAAGAAACAGAAAGCCAUUCCCUGCUGGAGGUGGUGGCAGACAAGUCAGAAAAUUGUGAGAACUUGGCCUUUAGCCUCCAAGUGGCAAAAAAAAAA